GCCAGGCAUUCUGGCGGGUGCCUGUGGUCCCAGUUACUUGGGAGGUAGAGGCAGGAGACUCGCUUGAGCCCAGGAGUUGGAGGUUGCUGUGAGCUGUGAUGUCACAGCACUCUACCCCAGGGGGACAGCUUGAGGCUCUGUCUCAAAAAAAAAAAAAGACCAGAUUUCUUUUCUUUCUUUCUUUCUUUUUUUUUUUUUUUGGAGACAGAGCCUUAAGCUAUCAUCCUGGGUAGAGUGCUGUGGCCUCACAGCUCACAGCAACCUCCAACUCCUGGGCUUAAGAGAUUCUCUUGCCUCAG
rfam:Otolemur garnettii contig071025, whole genome shotgun sequence.